rnacentral:rRNA from 1 species
GACGAACGCUGGCGGCGUGCUUAACACAUGCAAGUCGAGCGGAGCGGCGAACGGGUGAGUAACGCGUGAGUAACUGCCCCCCUCUCUGGGAUAACAGUUGGAAACGGCUGCUAAUACCGGAUAGUGGGGGGUGACUCGCGUCAUAGCAGCUUGUUGGUGGUGUAGUCGCCUACCAAGGCGACGACGGGUAGCCGGCCUGAGAGGGGGACCGGCCACAUUGUGCAGGGAAACGGCCAAAGCUCAUACGGGAGGAAGCAGUGGGGAAUAGUGGACAAUGGGGGAAAUCCUGGUGCAGCACCGCCGCGUGCGGGAUGACGGCCUUCGGGUUGUAAACCGCUUUCAGCCAUGACGCGGUAGUGGCAGAAGAAGCACCGGCUAACUACGUGCCAGCAGCCGCGGUAUUC